rnacentral:lncRNA from 1 species
UAAGUAUUAUGCAAUGUUUAUUUUUGUUGCUCUCCUGUGUUACAUUCCCAUUAUUUUGUCAGUUUAACUGACAAAACUGACUUUUUAAAGGCCAUUUCUCUGGUUGAAAAAAUAAAACUAACUUUAGUUUCCCUUGUAUUUCAUAGAGAUAAUAAUUAAAAUAUAUCAACUGAAAAUGUUAGUAAUGUUGAAUUUCCAUAGAAAUUUCAAUAAAGGAAAUAUAUUAAUAAUACAAUGUCUACAAAGAAAGCUGAAGAGCAAAUGGACAGAAACUUCAAGCUAUUACAUGUGAUGAUGGAGAAAUCCCGCUGAGCGAGGAAGUUCCGAGGAAAGCGCACGAGAGGGUGAUGCGACAAGAAUCCUACGCUAUCGGUUAGAGCAGUAAUUGAAUCAUCAUGACUUCCCUGUUGUAUUUGUGACUCUAAUGAUAAAAUAAAAUUAGCUAAAUAAGACAGAAUUUAGUUAAGGCUGUCAAUCGUAAUAAACCCAAACACUGGCUACAUUCAGAUACAUGGUUACAUGCUUAUAAAGUCUGCCCCAAAAAUGUACACACGCUUCAGGAGAAGAACAACAGCGCGAUGUUUUUUCAACAGAUGAUGUUAUCCUUACAUGGGGGACCGUAGAGGAUGUCACAUAUCUCGGAAAACCCACCACGCUGCCGCCUGUAGAGAAGGAAUUGAAAAAGCACGCGCAGCAUUUCAAUAACCAAGGUCACCCAAGCAGCAGCUCGCCGUGCUAAUACACGUCGGGGAGCUCAUGGCCACCACUUCGAGCACCGCUUGUAACUGUAGAGGCCAAAGGCAACUUGCAUUAAUCUCAUGAUGGCUCAGUAAAUUUAGUAUUAAAAUAUUUGUACAAGUUUUUCUUUUCUUGAAGUGUGCAGACAUUUUUGGCAGACUGUGUAUUACAGGUAGAGAGGUAAACUAGGUAGUUUAAGACUAAAAUCCUGGCAAGCAUUUUAUUGGAAAAUAACAAGAUGCAUCUUAAUGACACUGCCAAAGCUGUGACACUUCUCUCUUUUAUAAAAAGCUGCCUACAGUUAGAGUCUACAUAUUUUUGGAUUAUAAACUAUAUUUAACAUACAAAAGGAUAUGCAUUUUAGAAUAGUUUUUCAGGUUUCAUGUAUAGAU